ncrna:unclassified sequences RT-2 RNA
AUAGGUCAAUCAAAGUAACCCUCGUGGCGAAAUUUGUACUUCUGCAGAAGGGAGGCUUGUUCCUGUAGCAUAGUCAAAUAUGCUCGAAACAGUGUGUCGAUGAUAUGCACCGGAUGACGCUUCUUGCAUGGCCGAUGAAUACGGGAAUAGUCGGUUUCAUGGUGCGGACUACGCAGUUAGAACUCCCGCCUACAAUAAGACUGUACGGCACACCCAAUUUUCUUGUAUAUAAG